GAUGAACGCUAGCUACAGGCUUAACACAUGCAAGUCGAGGGGCAGCAUUAAAGUUUGCUUGCAAACUUUAGAUGACGACCGGCGCACGGGUGAGUAACACGUAUCCAACCUGCCGAUAACUCGGGGAUAGCCUUUCGAAAGAAAGAUUAAUACCCGAUGGUAUAUUUUCACCGCAUGGUGAAACUAUUAAAGAAUUUCGGUUAUCGACGGGGAUGCGUUCCAUUAGGCAGUUGGUGAGGUAACGGCUCACCAAACCUUCGAUGGAUAGGGGUUCUGGGGGGAAGGUCCCCCACAUUGGAACUGGGACACGGUCCAAACUCCUACGGGAGGCAGCAGUGGGGAAUAGUGGUCAAUGGGCGCGAGCCUGAACCAGCCAAGUAGCGUGAAGGAUGACGGCCCUAUGGGUUGUAAACUUCUUUUAUAUGGGAAUAAAGUUUGGUAUGUAUACCAUUUUGUAUGUACCAUAUGAAUAAGGAUCGGCUAACUCCGUGCCAGCCGCCGCGGUAAUAC
rnacentral:rRNA from 1 species